GCUGGAGAUCCCUGCCUACCUGAGGCCUUCUGAAGUACACUAUGAUUCUGUGAACUGCUAUGGAGUCCCUUUCAGCAGCUGGCUGGCAGGGCAGGCUGCUUAGCUGAUCUCAGGACUCACCAGAUCCUCUAAUUGCAUGAAUAAUGAUUUUCUACCUAUUAUGGGUGCACAGUGUAAAAUGCAAUUAUUAGACACAGUGGCCCUGCUAUUUCCAGUGAAGCAGAAGUUAAUAAGAGGAUUCAGCAGUAGGAAGAAACCUAAACUGAGAAACCACUCCUGAAUGAUUAACACAACUCCUCUGUGCACAGGACAGCUAGCAGGAGUGUACAGAAUACUUUUAAUGGAGCAGCUACACUGGCAGUAAGAACAAUCAGGCAGAGACCCAUGGAAUGGUGUGUCCCAUUGGAAACUGUGGUGGAUGUGCUCUUCCUUUCCACUGAUAUCUUCAUAGAUGGAUUGUGCUAAGGGAGUGGAACCUGCCCCUGAACUCCACAGUGGAGCCCAGUUAGCUCUAAGACUCCUGCGUUUGGAUACUGGAACCUUCUAGCCAAGCAAAAUCUGCCACAGUAUAUCUUGCCCUCUUGCUCUUUCAACUUUUCUCUCUUCUUUCCAUCAACCAUCCUAGAAACUGGAAGAAGUGUGUUUAGUCUGGGACAGCAGAGGUGGCAAGGGAAAGCCUAUAGCCUGCUUCUAGACCCAGUGUCAGCCCUUCCAAGGGACUGCAUGGCAGCAUUUGUCGGCCCUGCCCUGAGAGAGAGAGCCUGGCUGAGGGCAGUGUCGCAGCAGGGCUGCAUGCUUAGCACCAGCUCCCCAGAGAAGCGUAAAGCAGAGCAGAACACUGGUAUGGCAGAUAACAGGAGUGCACCAACGCCAAUCAUAUGGUGUGUUUGUGUUGCACAUAUUUGGAAUCACAGCGAUACCGUGACAUCUGGAAAGAGCUCGUGUUUACAGGCAUCACACAAGGUCUAUAACUGCCGGGGUUGGCUGCCAAAGCUGGAUUGGAAGGACUGGGAGAACUUCUGUGGUUAGCUGUCCAUCUCCUUUGCAAUGAGGCAGAAGACGUCUGGAGGGCCCUGGCACGUCUCCUCCCCUGUAUGAUGUUCACGGCUGGCCCAUUAAAGCAGUGGUAUGAAUGCAGAGUUCCAAAAGAAGAUGCUUGUUGGUUUUUCUGCUCUUCUGCACGAAGGAAGCCCUAGCUGCGCUGUGCAAGUGGUGGGGGAAGCUGAUGGUUUUGCUUGAUCCAGAGCUCUCCUUAACAGCAAACAGUCACGGAAAGGUGCAGCUGCCCAAACCCAGGGAGGACCUAGGUCAGAUUAAUCACUUCCUGGGAGUUUACUGCUCGCUGACUUUCCAGGGUGACUCACUCAGAUGUCUAGAAUAUAGAGGCUUAAAGUAGCUGAUGUGAGUCCUGCUUCAUGAGAAAAGCUAAAAAGGGAAGAACAAGUGAAGAUAAGCAAAGAGGGUGUGACUGCACCCACAGCAAGGACGAUGAAUUAAAAUUUCAGCAGGGAGAGCUGUGCUCUACAAAAAUCAGCCAGUAACAACACACCAGUGCUGGUUUCAAAAGGAAGACUGAUUGUAUGCUCUGUUCCUAGCUAGAAGUGGUAAUCAAAAAAGGGGAAUGGACCACCGCUCCUAUUUUAUUUACCUUUUGCAACUUGUAAGGAGACUGGCUAUGGAGAACGUCCUGCCAACAACCAGGAUCCAGCCACUAUGAGAUCCCUAAGUGUCCACAGACAAUUGGGGAACAGCUGAGAAGCGCUCCUGCAGAAGAUCUGAAGUGAUUUUGAAGUGAACAUCCUCUAGGAAUAUAGCAUAAGGUCAACUGACAUUGAAUAUGCGGCCUCAGAAUGCACGGAGAGGGAGGGAUGGGUGAGUAUUUGAGUUCUACAGGCAGUUAUGGUGCCGUUUCAGCUCACCCACUUUUUCACCAGGCUUUACCCAUGGUGAGACUCCUGCAGGGCUGGCACAACAGCUAUGAGAAAGAAGGAAGUCGCAUCUAGCAAAUAUCCUCUACAACUUCACAUGGUAGUGGUCUAACGGCGAGAAGUUCUGAUUUGUUUUGUGGAUUUAACCUUGUUCCUGGGCAAUGUUCAUACAAACAGGAGAACUGCUCGGCGAGGUUCAGCUCAGCAGCUGCAGUUCUCUGAGAGGAGCACCCAGAGAGGACCCCAUUCUUGCCCUUCUGACAAGUAAUAUAAGACAUUCCUUGCCUUUGUGUAUGUGACUUGAAUGAACAAGAACAAUGCAGGAAAAUGAAGUUUGAAAGGCAGGAAGAUGGAGGCCAGGCACAAAAGGGAGAGUAAUUUCCUGGAGCUAACAGUGCUUUAAUCAACCUCACCCAGGCCAGGCUACCUCAGCAGGAAACAUAUGUACAAAUAGGGGGAGUUGUGCGGCUUUAUUAGCAAGCCCUGUGGCUUGCCCCAUUGCUGUACACUCCUUUUCCUAGCAGGGGCCCAUCCCCAGGGCAGUUCUUCAAUCUUUUCCCUGAGAACUGGCAAGUACAGACAGAGUCCUCUGCAUUUGGGGUCUGCUCGUUUGAGCCAGCUUUGUCUCCAGCAACUUAGCAUUUGGGUUUUCCAAAAGGAGCAGCCCUUUGCCAUGCCUGGGUGCUGCUCUCCAAAGCUGUGCAGAACGGGCUGCUGUCAGCACUGGGAACCACAGUCCUGUCUGGGAAGCUGUGGGCUAAGCAUCUCUCUUCAUAAGGCAAAAUAGAUGUCAAAUAAAGAAGCAGAUAUUGUUUAACUGUUAUCUUAAUGCUUAGCUCGUGUUUUUUAAUUGCCAUGUUUAAAGUUUUAUUUUCUUCUAGAGCGAAGAAAAUGAAAAUUAUCUGUUGAACUUCGUGUGCAAAGCAUUUAUCCACUCUAGCUCUCUGCCUGAAUGUUAAAAGAAGUAAAUUACUGAAUUCCUUCAAUGCUAAAGCUUCAUUGUGUUGCCUUGGUAUGGUUGCCUUGGUAUGGUUGGGGGUGCUUGCUUAAAGUUCUUGGGAAGAAAUUGGAUCAGACCCAGGGGAAACAUCCAAAAUACUUACUUUAAUGACAACGCCAGAUACCGAAGCAAUUAUUUCGAAAGAACAGAAUUUAAAUAUGAUAUUAAAAUGAGAGCAGCUCCAUAAAAAGGGACCAAGUAAUAAAAAAAAACACCACCUCAUUAACAUUCAUGAACAAUAGAAAGCAGCCCAGACUCAGAUGUUAUCUAAGGUAUCAUAUGAAUAUAAUACAAAGCUCAGUAAAGUAGCCUGCUGUCCUUAUGUCAACAUUGAUCUCACAAUAAAAACAACUUGGUUGCUUUGACUGUCUCUUUGUUCAAUGAGCUGAACAAAGCCCUGCUUACCCCUGGGUGCAAGAGCCUUGGUUGUCAGAUGGCCCUUCAGUGCAGUUUCACAGUGCAGGAAGAAGCUGGAUGCUACAUGGUAAUAUUGUGGCUACUGCCAUGACCCUGCAGGGAAAGUCACUGCUGCAAAUCCUGGUCCCACUCUGACUGGGUUUAUUCUAAAUAUGGGCACCUUUCUAAGUGUGUGAAUGUAUAGCCCAUGGUUGGGUCUUGAAGCAUGAACUGGAGGAGCAGAGAGGGCUGAUGCCCCUUCUUUUCGUUGUGUAGUCUUCUCUGGGACUCUUAGUGAGGCAGCAGCACCAUUUUGUCCUCGGCUCUCUGCAGAAGUCUGGUCAGUUCCUGAGCUGUAGUUCUGGGAAGAAGGCAGAGCUAUGAACUGUCUGCCUACAGCCACGUAGCAAAGAGUGACUUCUCUAUGGGCAGGAUGAACAAGACUGGUUCCUUCAGCCUUUCCUCACACCAUGUGCUCCAGAUCCUGGACUGUCUCAGUGUCUUCCAGUGUUCUCCAGUCCUGAUGCCAAAACCAUUGAAAUUUCUUCACUAAAUCAGUGGAAGGAAGGAUAUAAACUUCCUUGUCCCAGUGAAGGACAUUCCUGUCUACGUGUAACAGGAAAAGAGAAAAAAAGAAAGUGUAAAUAAGGCCUGUGACCUUGUGGAGCUUCAACAAGCAAGUAGAACCUCCUGGAAGAUGGAUGUCUUCCUCAGUCAUCUUUUGAAUCGAUCAGAAAGUUCAAACAGGUUCGUGUAGUUCUUUGGGGAAGGUGGCUACAACGCAGCUCCAGGCUCUGGUACAAGUUACCUUAGCAAUUAUAAGAUCGAUUUUGCAUUUUGGUGCUGUGCCAUUUUCUGAGCAUUUAUUUGCCUGAUAGAGAAGAAAGGAAAGAGCCUCAGGAGAAGGACCCAUAGAUUGGAAUCUGAGCAACAGUCCUUUACAUGCUUGAGAAUAAAACUUUGUAAAGCCAAAAUAAUCCUUCUGUAGAGAAAUGAUGCUUGAAGAGCUCUCCAUAUGUGCUGCAUAUCUGUGAGGUUUGGAA